ACCGGCGAUACCCGAAUGGGGAAACCCAGUGUGAUUCGUCACACUAUCAUUAACUGAAUCCAUAGGUUAAUGAGGCGAACCGGGGGAACUGAAACAUCUAAGUACCCCGAGGAAAAGAAAUCAACCGAGAUUCCCCCAGUAGCGGCGAGCGAACGGGGAGGAGCCCAGAGCCUGAAUCAGCAUGUGUGUUAGUGGAAGCGUCUGGAAAGGCGCGCGAUACAGGGUGACAGCCCCGUACACAAAAGCGCAUGUGCUGUGAGCUCGAUGAGUAGGGCGGGACACGUGGUAUCCUGUCUGAAUAUGGGGGGACCAUCCUCCAAGGCUAAAUACUCCUGACUGACCGAUAGUGAACCAGUACCGUGAGGGAAAGGCGAAAAGAACCCCGGCGAGGGGAGUGAAAAAGAACCUGAAACCGUGUACGUACAAGCAGUGGGAGCACAGGUUUACCUGUGUGACUGCGUACC
rnacentral:rRNA from 1 species